CUUUGGGGCCUUGGCCUUUUAGGCAGUACCCGGGAAGUUGACCCCUGGGGAGGCGUGUGCCAGAUUAAACUCAAAGGAUUUCCGGGACCCGCCCACCGGUGGAUGAUUGGGUUAAUUGAUGGCACGCGGAAAACCUUCCUACCCUGACAGUCUGGAAAGCCGAAAGGGUUUGCCGUGGUCCCAGAGAACCUGAACCAGGUGGCGGAUGCUUUUCUCAGUCCUUGUCGUGAGAGGUGGGUAAGUCCCGCAACGAGCGCAACCCUUGUCAUUAAUUGCUACGCAAGAGCACUCUAAAGAGACUGCCGGUGACAAACCGGAGGAAGGUGGGGAUGACGUCAAGUCCUCAUGGCCCUUAUGGGUAGGGCUUCACACGUCAUACAAUGGUCGGGACAGAGGGUCGCCAACCCGCGAGGGGGAGCCAAUCUCAGAAACCCGAUCGUAGUCCGGAUCGCAGUCUGCAACUCGACUGCGUGAAGUCGGAAUCGCUAGUAAUCGCGGAUCAGAAUGUCGCGGUGAAUACGUUCCCGGGUCUUGUACACACCGCCCGUCACACCAUGGGAGUGGGUUUCACCAGAAGUAGGUAGCCUAACCGUAAGGAG
rnacentral:rRNA from 1 species